CCAACAAGAUCAUGGACUUCAUCAAGUUUGACGUCGGCAACGUGGUCAUGGUGACCGGCGGGAGGAACACCGGGCGUGUAGGAGUGAUCAAGAACAGGGAGAAGCACAAGGGC